GCCAGACUCCUACGGGAGGCAGCAGUGGGGAAUAUUGCACAAUGGGGGAAACCCUGAUGCAGCGACGCCGCGUGAGCGAUGAAGUAUUUCGGUAUGUAAAGCUCUAUCAGCAGGGAAGAAGAUGACGGUACCUGACUAAGAAGCCCCGGCUAACUACGUGCCAGCAGCCGCGGUAAUACGUAGGGGGCAAGCGUUAUCCGGAUUUACUGGGUGUAAAGGGAGCGUAGACGGCGAUGCAAGCCAGACGUGAAAGCCCGGGGCCCAACCCCGGGACUGCUCUGGAAACUGCGUCGCUGGAGUAUGGGAGGGGCAGGCGGAAUUCCUGGUGUAGCGGUGAAAUGCGUAGAUAUCAGGAGGAACACCGGCGGCGAAGGCGGCCUGCUGGACCGUGACUGACGUUGAGGCUCGAGAGCGUGGGGAGCAAACAGGAUUAGAUACCCGAGUA
rnacentral:rRNA from 1 species